UACGUAGGUGGCGAGCGUUGUCCGGAUUUACUGGGCGUAAAGAGCGCGCAGGCGGUCCUUUAAGUCUGAUGUGAAAGCCCACGGCUCAACCGUGGAGGGUCAUUGGAAACUGGGGGACUUGAGUACAGAAGAGAAGAGUGGAAUUCCACGUGUAGCGGUGAAAUGCGUAGAGAUGUGGAGGAACACCAGUGGCGAAGGCGACUCUUUGGUCUGUAACUGACGCUGAGGCGCGAAAGCGUGGGGAGCAAACAGG
rnacentral:rRNA from 1 species